rnacentral:misc_RNA from 1 species
AUCAACCAUCAAGCUUAGCUUGUCGUUGGACCCUUUGUCGUCUAGUGACAGGUCCGAAAGAUAAUGAACGGCGUCACGGCGACCCUACAUGCAACGAGCUUGUAAAUAGCACGCAUAUGGUGGUCAUCCGGGCCCCGGUCGUCACCCUUUAUUUUCUCUAGGUUGACCUCGGAUCAGGUAGGAAUACCCGCUGAACUUAA